GCUGGAUUAGUUUAGUGGCAAAACAAAAGCAUGGUAAGCUUUAGCCCCGAGUUCGAUUCUCGGAUUCAGCACCA
rnacentral:tRNA from 1 species